ACGUAUUCUAGAUUAGUAACUUGUCAAAGGUACUUGAUUAAAGGUAAGUUUCUAAACGCAUCGUCGGAAGUGUACGACAGUUUGAACUAUAACAUUAACUGUUGCGGUGGGAUUCCUCACUUUGUCGGUGACGCUGGGUGCAGCAGGUAGCAGCUUGAACUCCAAUCAUAACGUGAGUCCCUAGUUUAUAGAUUGAUUCUCAUAAUUUUUCACAAGUGAUAUUUCCUAUAACUAUUCCCUUAAUAUUCUUUAAAUAUAUGAAAGGUUUAAAUGUGUAUCAAGUUAAUCAUAAUACUUCCAGAGAUUUAUGUGAUUUUAAGGGAUUGAAUUUAUCUAAUUAUAAUACACGCGUUGGGGGGGUAACCAAGGGUCCCUUAAACAUAUACAAUCAGUUCAGAGGGACCCACAAUAGAGAAAUGGGCCUAGCCAGGUUGGCCGUGCACACUAAGAAAAGAUACCGAUGAGUGAAAUUGUCCCGCCCCCAAGUCUUUAUAUUAGGGUAGAAUAGAAUGUAGUAUGCCAUGUUGGGCUUCUUUGUUGGUUCUUCUACCGAGAUUGGCGGCCGUUGUCUCCGGUAGAAGUGGACCCACGAACGCCGUCGCGGACGGCUGGGAUCCAUGCAGAUCCCUACUUACGACGUUCUCUCAUUGAGCAGAAACGCUGAAUGGGAGAACGGGCCCCGCAUCCGCUGCAUAAACAGCAAAUGGGUCGGUAAGUUAGAAAGGUUGUAUCGCAGGCCACAUUAUCUCUUCUAGAUAUAAAGGGAUUAAGAACCACGGCAACCUAGUCCCCCAAAUAAGUCCACACAGUUACUCUCCACCAAGGAAGAGAGUCGUGGCAGUUCCGUGAGACCACAGUUCUUUCCGUACAGAGGAAAGCAAAGGCAGAACUCAUAAGUCCACAGUCGUUCUUAAUCCCACUGCCUUAAAGGCCACAGACGUUGACAGACAAGGAAGUAGGAGCGCUCCGUUCAACGAUUUCCCAAAUUGGUCAUGUAGGAAACUAUAGGAUCUAACCCCUGUAACAAAGUAUAAAUUCAUGAAUCAUAUGUAGAUAACACGUUACGGUCAGGACAACCUAUAUCUAGGGCUUCAACACUACCUUAGUUGCCUAGAGUAACUCGAAGGUCAGUGUUACAGCCGGCAGACACAGUACCGAGUUGCUGUGUUUGCCCGGAUUUAUUUCACUUUCCAGAAACCAGCUGCGGUGAUAGAACCUCAGAUUAGGAGAGCAGUUUCAUGCGGAGCAGAUCAUAGUUCCUCGACACACCUACAUGCUGGGCAAUCUACUAUAAUAUACUAAAUUGAUUACUAUGAACAGACCAUUAUGAUGAUGAACCACUGAUAUUGACACAGAGACGUGAAGAUGAGUGCUUUGACAACAAGACUGACUAGCUGAGCCAGCUUAAGAAUUAUGUGGUGUGUGGUGUGUGUGUGUGUAAUCCCAGGAGCUCUCUAUGUCUGCCAACCAUCUAUAUUCUUACUCAUAUUUGUCAUUUAUAAAAUAAAUUUGAUUAUUUAGUAUGUAACUUCAUUGUACCUAUCCUGUGAUUAACUGAAGCUGUUAGAAAGGUAGCAUUUGUAAUAAUUAUUUACGGUAAAUAAUAUUUAAAAAAUAAAUAUGAUUUAACAUUUAAGUAUGGACAAUAUGUUGUAAAGUACAGUGGGCAGGGCUGAACCCAUGAUCCCUCAGUGUCGAGUCUGGCCCCUUUAUGGUGUAGCUAGUUAGGCUUCAGCAGAUUUAUAUUCUAAUUUGGUAAUACUCUUUUUUCUGAUUUAAGAAAAUUAUACUAAUCAUCAAAACUGUCUGUACAGGCCAACUGUUUGGAUGAGAAGUAUAUAUUUGAUUAUUUUUAAGCUUUGUGGUUUCAGGCUUUAAAAAAUGUCUAACUGAAAGUCUAUGUCUACUGUAUUUAUUAUUAUUAUUUUAAUAAAUAAACUUAAAAAAAUAUUUUUUUUAUAAACUUCCAACCCCUAUCUCAGAGGUGUCAUUUUCAUAAUUCUUAGAUUACUAGUAGUCUAGAUAAUGUAAUAAAAAUACAGUUUGUGAAAUUGUAGGGGUAAGCACUGGACCUACUGAACCAAUUUUAAAGAUUAUUUUCCAAUAAAAAUCCACAUUUGAGUAUUAUAGGCCAUGUAUUCCUUCCCACGGGAACAGGAAUUAUGUGGGUGAAACUGCAGGGGGGCGAACAUACACAGGUAUUAUAUAGAGUUAUUCAAAAUUUAUCGAAUUCAAAAAUGUAUUUUUUACAACUACACUUUUUUGAAUAAUAUAUUUAAUUAUUGUAAUGGUAAAAAAAAAUAAUAGUAAAAUGUUAAACUGAAAGCUUUAGUUUUGGAAAAGACUACAACAAAACAAACUCAGCAAAGUUAGUAUUCUUUUAUUUUCAAAUAUCAAAGACCAAAUCAAAUAUCAUCAGCAUUUCACAAUCUAUGCAAAUAUUUUGAUAAUACACACACAUUUAUGAUAUGACCAGAUAACAGGGUCAUCAGUACAAUGUCCUAUCAGCUAAAAGCCUUUGCCAUCUUUUCUUCAGCACACCAAUAUGUUAUUCCACUGUAUUGCAGGUGCUAUUUGCAAUAUUGGAGUCUGCAGUUAUAGGGCAUAUUCCAAAUCUGUAAAAAUGGUUAAUAUUGAGCAUAUUAUAAAAUACAAACAUCACUAUUUAUGUGUAGUUUGUGUACUAAGAUAAUAUAGUGGACAGACAAGCUUCGCUUUGACUCAGUCCCUAUUCCUUUCCUAUUCUACACCCACCCAUUGGCUUGUCUAGUAUUAUUUCCUAUUCCUAUUCUGUAGCUCAGAAUCCUAGGAUUCCUAGGGUGGGCAUGCACCAAUGGAAUAUGUAAAUGUACCUAAGAGCGAUGACGAUAGAGUUCGUUCGCUUAAUCAUACUUUUAAAAAUGAAAUUCGAUUCCUUUUUGCUUAAUAGCCAGCAAACUUAACUAAACCACACACAUAGGCCCUGGAACACAAACAUAUUGGAUACGACAACAUGCAAGAUGUUGCAGAAAUCUACAACAUGUUAAGGUAUUAAAUAUCGUAGGUAGUGAGUUUAUGUCGCUGGACUCUUUGUCUGGUACGUCCAAUGAUAGUGUGUGUUAGACAUUGGAUGCUGGAAGAAAGAUGCUGUUUGAUUCCCAGUUCUUGGAGGAGUGAGAUGUUGUUUCGAAACCAGUGUUGCCAGUUGGAUCUUAUGAGAAGUUACCCGAAAUAUUAAAAAAGUAACCUUUUUGUGUAAAAAGUAACCUUUUGACUAACUACUCUUGCUUUUUGCGUUCAACAGCAUGGCUAAACCACCAUUUCAGCCUCUGGGGGCUAAAGUAAUUUUGUUUUUUUUUUUAAUAUCCGUCUUUUACGAAUACUAGCCAAGUACUAAAUUACUACAAACCGAAGGAGAUUUUACUAGUAAAUAGAAUCAUCUUAAGUAAGGCCCUGAUUGUUUGCCUUUUACUUAUGGGAUAAGAAAAAUACAAUUAAAGAGCAAGGAUCUAAAAAACAAUAGACGUUAAUUUCUUAAAUUCAUACUUGAUUUUUUUAAGAAAUUCAAUGUGGCUGCAACUUGCUUAUUUCGCAACGUCAAUUGUAACGUCUUCAUUUAAAGUGAGAUUGACACAGAAACAUCGAUGAGUUCUUGAGCAUUUGUUGAUUUAACGACCGUUCUGUUUUAGAUAUACGAAAUUGUAAGUUAAUUCUAAAAAUUCCGAAAUAUCACGUAAAAGUAACCUUUUUAUUAAUGUAACCUAAAAGUUACCAAUACAGUCAAAAAAUCACCUAAAAGGUUACAAAAGUAACCUUCUGGCAACACUGUUCGAAACUGUGUCCAGGGGCCUAAUUGUCUAACGCAAACGAUUGAAUUUGACAGUUGAAAUCGUACGUUUUUACUUGUCAAACGGCUAUUUCGGAUUGUGUAAGCCAAUGGAAAGCCAUCGGUUGGGCAUAGUUAGUUCAUUACGAUUAGAUCGUUAUUUUUAUACGAAGAGUGAAUGAUUUGAUAUGAUUUGACAGUUAUUUGCGAUUGUCUUCGAAUUGUGUAAAGUUUUAUGUUCAUGGCUUAUGUCAAAAACUUACGAUGGGUCUUGAGUCACCUUUGAUCGUAAAACGGACAAAUUGUGGAUGUCCAAAAUUCCAAAAUAAUUAUUUAUAUUUUAUUAAAUAUCUAAAAUUAAUAUUUUUUUCCAUUCUAAAUCUCUCAAUUCAGUCUCCCCGACCACAGUUAGCAUUUUUAGGACGAAACUUGGCGAAGUGUUUAGUGCUUUGUUUGUAAACAAUGAACUCUCUUAGAAAGAGUAAUAAAUAAUAUAUUCUUUGCAGUGAACCUAUAAAGUCAAAACAAUGAAGUUAAUUCAGUGCUAUUAAUCGAUUUAUAUAGGAUGCUGAGACUUGGACUCUGAGAGAAAGUGAGAAAAAGAAGAUACACACUCUAGAAAUGUGUUGUAGAAGAACGCUUGCAUAUCCUGGACACAGUUUCGAAACAACAUCUCACUCCUCCAAGAACUGGGGAUCAAACAGCAUCUUUCUUCCAGCAUCUAAUGUCUUACACACACUUCUUUGGACGUACUAGACAAAGAGACGAUAAGUCCAUAUCCUUAGAGAGACAUAAACUCACUACCUACGAUAUUUAAUACCUUAUCAUGUUGUAGAUUUCUGCGACAUCUUGCAUGUUGUUGUAUCCAAUGUGUUUGGAUUUGUGUUCCUGGGCUUAUGUGUGUGGUUUAGUUAAGUUUACUUAAGUUUGCUGGCUAUUAAGCAAAAAGGAAUCGAAUUUCAUUUUUAAAAGUAUGAUUAUGCCAAACGAACUCUUUUGUCAUCGCUCAUAGGUACAUUUACAUUUUCCAUUGGUGCAUGCCCACCCUAGGAGUCCUAGGAUUCUGAGCUACUGAAUAGGAAAUUAUACUAGAUAAGCCAAUGGGUGGGAGUAGAAUAGGAUAGGAAUAGGGAAUGAGUCAAAGCGAAGCUUGUCUGUCCGCUAUAUUAUCUUAGUACACAAACUACACUUACUUUGAGACUAAAUAGUGAUGUGUGUAUUUUAUAAUAUGCUCAAUAUUAACAAUUUUGCUUUACAGGAGAUUUGGAAUAUGCCCUAUAACUGCAGACUCCAAUAUUGCAAAUAACACCUGCAAUACAGUGGAAUAACAUAUUGGUGUGCUGAAGAAAAGAUGGCAAAGGCUUUUAGCUGAUAGGAUAUUGUAAUGAUGACCCUGUUCUGUUCAAAUCAUAAAUGUGUGUGUAUUAUCAAAAUAUUUGCAUAGAUUGUGAAAUGCUGAUGAUAUUUAAUUUGGUUGGAUUUUGAUAUUUGAAAAUAAAAGAAUACUUACUUUGC